UGAGGGUUCAUAUGUUUGAUUCACCAAGAGCCAAACUCUGACAGCGGUGUUGGCAGCAAAGUCAGGGUUGACUUGCAGGACAUCAAAAGAGGAGAACAGGGAGACUCGGGCUCAAAAGACCUGAAUCUGGGAUGGCUUGCAGGUGAGGGUUUGGAGACAGGGUUAAGGGAGGGUCCUAGGAUGCCUAACUGUGGGCCUCCUUCUGAUUGGUCAGUGGUGAGGUAGCAGGGCGACAGUUCAGGGAUCUCAGUCACCACCCUUCUGAAACGAUGGUGAUCAGACCACCAGCCCGGGGUCUCCAAGCUUAUGCUCUGCACAGUCACCAUACUCCACCUCGUGGGGUCUUAGCUUUUACAGAACAACUCAAGUGCUGGUGACCUGGCUGAUGGGGUCUUCGGAGGCCCUGGGGGCCGAGCUGCUGUUCACGCAGUGACCACAGGGCUUUGAAGCAAAGAUCCCUGAGCUGAGGAUCUGGAACCCUCUGUCCCAUCUUCCAGCGACCACCUAGCUACAGUCUCCUGAAUCCUGCGUGGCUCCCGCUACCAGCAUCAAGGACCACGGAUGCUGCUUUGAUGGACUGAGUCCCCCUCCCCUGCCUGCCAGAGAAGGUUCUCUGCUGCCCUUCGCUGCAUGCCAGCCCAGCCAGGAAACUGAGGACACCGCAGACUCAACCUCAGGACGCUUCUUCUGCACGGGAACGCGCUCCUGCUGUCCCUAAGGCUUCCAGAACCCCUGACGUGGGCGGCCCCCAGUACCACCUCAUGUUCAGGGCAUCUUACUAGCCAUGGUCCUCCUCCUCAGCUUCCUCCUGCUGCUGGGCCUCUGUGAGGACACCGUGUCAGAGGAGCCGUCGUCAUCCGGGUACCGUCCUGCUGAUUUGGAAUUCCAGUUGCCUUCAACCUCCUAUCAGACCAGCGACUCUUAUGAUCCCGGUCCUGCUGGCUUCUUCUUUCACAUCAUGCGCCUGUUUGUUCACAUUGUGCAGCCCAGUGCUUUCCCCGAGGAUAUUUUAAGAAAUAUUAUACAGAAGAAGUUUGACCCCUCAAAGGAGUAUGAUAAGAUUAUCUACUAUGAGAUCGGGGUUAUUAUCUGUGCUGCCCUGGGAUUGCUGUUUAUUAUUCUGAUGCCUCUGGUGGGAUUUUUCUUUUG